GACGAACGCUGGCGGCGUGCCUAAUACAUGCAAGUAGAACGCACAGUUUAUACCGUAGCUUGCUACACCAUAGACUGUGAGUUGCGAACGGGUGAGUAACGCGUAGGUAACCUGCCUGGUAGCGGGGGAUAACUAUUGGAAACGAUAGCUAAUACCGCAUAAUAUUGAUUAUUGCAUGAUAAUUGAUUGAAAGAUGCUAUUGCAUCACUACCAGAUGGACCUGCGUUGUAUUAGCUAGUAGGUGAGGUAACGGCUCACCUAGGCGACGAUACAUAGCCGACCUGAGAGGGUGAUCGGCCACACUGGGACUGAGACACGGCCCAGACUCCUACGGGAGGCAGCAGUAGGGAAUCUUCGGCAAUGGACGAAAGUCUGACCGAGCAACGCCGCGUGAGUGAAGAAGGUUUUCGGAUCGUAAAGCUCUGUUGUAAGAGAAGAACGGGUGUGAGAGUGGAAAGUUCACACUGUGACGGUAUCUCACCAGAAAGGGACGGCUAACUACGUG
rnacentral:rRNA from 1 species